CAGAGAGCCAAUGACAUUUCAGUUUUACAUUUUCUCCUACUGUCCUGUCAGCAAGUGGGCUGGAGGAGCACAAGGAACUGGGAGAGGACAGAACCAGUACAGCUGAACUAAACUGGCCAAAGGAAUAUUCCAUGCCAUAUGACAUCAUGUGAAAAACAAACAAACAAACAAACAAACAAACAAAUCCCUAAAACUGGAGGGAGUUGGCCAUUGAGGGCAGCUACUACUUGGAGAUUGGCUGGGCGCUAGUCAGUAGGUUAUGAUGUGGAAAAACAGAGGACAUUGAAAGAAAGGAAAGCAAAAUCAUUUAUUUUCCUAUAUGAGAAACAAAACAAAAAAUGUUCAAAUGGAGGUGGUCAUGUGCAUGCAGAUGUGAAAAAAAGAAAAAAGAAAAAAGAAAAGAAAAAGAAAAGCACAGCAGUUGGUAAAUGAAACAUGGAGAUGGCUGUGAAACUGGCAAGAUCCUCCCUGACCAGAAGAUGCAAAAACACAGCAGACAAAGCCAGAGCAAGGCACCCAUAACAAUAACAGUGUUUACUUCCCUGACAAGAAACCAUAUUUAUGCCUGCAAGCAAUAAAUAUAAGACUUAAAUCUGUUCACAGAACUGUCAAUGCGAAGACAAUGGAGAAGAGAAUAAUUGAGUGAGAAUAAAAUUCUGAAACAUUCAAGUAGCUGAUAAAGUCAUUUCAAGAAUGUUUCUCUACCUGAGAUCGUUUUAGAGCUUUAGGUGUUUGUGUGAGUGUGUGUGUGUACGUAUUGUUGCUGUUAUCUGUCCAUUUGUUUUUAAUUCACAUGAAGCUGAAC
ensembl:lncRNA